rnacentral:sRNA from 1 species
CAGUAUCCUCACUUCUUGAAGAGGGAAGGCAACAAGCUUCAGAUCAUGCUGCAGCGCAGAAAGCGCUACAAGAACAGAACCAUCCUGGGCUACAAGACGCUGGCCGCGGGCUCCAUCAGCAUGGCUGAGGUGAUGCAGCACCCGUCUGAAGGUGGCCAGGUCCUGAGCCUCUGCAGCAGCAUCAAGGAGGCCCCCGUCAAGGCGGCCGAGAUCUGGAUCGCCUCCCUGUCCAGCCAGCCCAUUGACCACGAAGACAGUGCCAUGCAGGCCGGCCCCAAGGCCAAGUCCACAGAUAACUACUCCGAGGAGGAGUAUGAGAGCUUCUCCUCCGAGCAGGAGGCCAGUGACGACGCCGUGCAGGGGCAGGACUUAGACGAGGACGACUUCGACGUGGGGAAGCCGAAGAAGCAGCGGAGAUCGAUUGUAAGAACGACGUCCAUGACCAGGCAACAGAACUUCAAGCAGAAAGUGGUGGCGCUGCUGCGGAGGUUCAAAGUGUCCGAUGAGGUGAGUGCGCCGCGCCUUCUGCUCGCAGCCCCCAUGCCUGCAGCAGCGCCUGGUUGGGAGGAGGCCUCUGGGGUCUGUCUCUGGGCCACAUCUGGUUCUGCUGCUCACCGUCUGCACGGCCCUGCCAGCAUCGCACUGUCUGCGAGGCGCAGUAACAGUGGCACUGCCUCGCAGGCUCCAGGUCACCCGCUGGGUCUCUGCUGAAGUGCAAGCUGUGAAUACACUGGAAGUUGGAAAGUCAUUUUCAGGGGGACGUAA